GAGAAACACUGCUUUAGAAAAGUUGUGCCACAUGGUCAGGUGAACUACUUCAUCACUGAUCUAGAUAGACUAUAAUUGACCUCUAUCUGUAUCAGCCAUCUUAAUGACGGUAAUCUAUCAAUCUAACUGCUGACCAUCACGAGUCUGAAUGGCAAUCAGAUGCUGUGGUUGUGUCUGAGCUUGCGUAGCUAGGCAACAGAAGGAUACAGUGAAAAUGAGAACACAGCUUGCAACUGUUGCUAGGGAACCAUUGGAGAGUUUUAGAGCUUGUAAAUGGAGAGCUGGAUGGAUCAGACUCUAAUAGCCUGGGUUUGAUGGAGGCACACAUACAGGGAGAUGAGGGAUCUCAAAGAGGCAGCGCUCUUUACCCCCUCCACCAUGCCAAAGUGUCAGAUUCAACUGGGCUUGAGCCCAACAAAAUACAAAAUGUCCAGUAACAAAAUCCUUCUCUAGCCAGAAGCAACCAACCAUGUGUGUGAAAGAGAGACAGACAGAGAGCUCUAUAAUUGUGAGGAUGGACAAACAUUUUAGCAAAGCGUGUCACUGCAACCUGACAACAUCAACACCCAUAAUACAGGUACGUGUGAAACACAAGUACUCCAUUCACACAAUGCUGCCCAUCUGCGCGUAGCGUUUCAUCUUUUGGAGGGCGAAUAAAGCGUUUCAUCAUCUUCACAGGCAGCAUUCGAGGGUCACCGUGCAAACAGAACUGGCGUAGCAAUUAAAGAAGAGACUGAACGGCAGUAAUUUGUUUUCAGCAGCAUUGACAUUUUUCAAGAUAAAUGUAGAGAGAGAGAUCAGAGAGGAACAUGGCUGCCCUCAUCAAUCCCAUAAGACCUCACAGCAGUAGCUCUCAUACAUGAGGUGUUCGCUCAGUGUUCAGCUGUUGAUUGCUUUUGCAUUUGAUCUGACACACAGUAUACGAGUCCCUAUUUUUCACUUUUUAAAAGGUCUUUGCUACUCCAUUAUCUGCAUUCUUUCUG